CUCUGUAUUGUGGCUAAAUUAGGGUUGGUACACGGAAUCGAUUACACAGAGCCACACGAUCACGCAUCUAAACAUAUAGUAGCAUGUUCUUAUCGAAAAUCAAUAUAUUGAGGCCAAUGAUGCAUAAAAAUUGUCCGUACCAUCUGAGGAUCUUUACUAAGUCUCCUUUGAUGUGAAUUCGCCUGUAUUUUCUGAGCGCUGUACGUUGCCGAUAACAAUUAGGUUCUGAGAUUCUGGCAUUUGCUUCUUUUAUUGAGCUUGUGCAUUCAGAUGUGCCCACAUUUUGGUAUUGAAGAUGAUGAA